rnacentral:rRNA from 1 species
AGAGUUUGAUCCUGGCUCAGAACGAACGCUGGCGGCAGGCUUAACACAUGCAAGUUGAACGGGAUUUGUGUGGUGCUUGCACCAUAUAAUGAGAGUAGCGCACUGGUGAGUAACACGUGGGAACGUGCCUUUUAGUGGGGGAUAACAUCUGGAAACGGAUGCUAAUACCGCAUACGCCCUGAGGGGGAAAGAUUUAUUGCUAAGAGGUCGGCCCGCGGUAGAUUAGGCAGUUGGUGGGGUAAAGGCCUACCAAACCUACGAUCUAUAGCUGGUCUGAGAGGACGAUCAGCCACAUUGGAACUGAGACACGGUCCAGACUCCUACGGGAGGCAGCAGUGAGGAAUAUUGGGCAAUGGAGGCAACUCUGACCCAGCCAUGCCGCGUGAGUGAGAAGGUUUUCGAAUUGUAAAGCUCUUUCGGGUGUGAAGAUGAUGACGGUAACACCAGAAGAAGCCCCGGCAAACUUCGUGCCAGCAGCCGCGGUAAUACGAAGGGGGCGAGCGUUGUUCGGAAUUACUGGGCGUAAAGGGUGUGUAGGCGGUUAAGUAAGAUAGUGGUGAAAUGCCGGGGCUCAACCUCGGAAUUGCCAUUAUGACUAUUUAGCUAGAAUGAUGCAGAGGAUAGCGGAAUACCCAGUGUAGAGGUGAAAUUCGUAGAUAUUGGGUAGAACACCAGAGGCGAAGGCGGCUAUCUGGGCAUUGAUUGACGCUGAGGCACGAAAGCAUGGGGAUCAAACAGGAUUAGAUACCCUGGUAGUCCAUGCUGUAAACGAUGAAUGCUAGUUGUUGGAGGAAUUCAGUGACGCAGUUAACACAAUAAGCAUUCCGCCUGGGGAGUACGGUCGCAAGAUUAAAACUCAAAGGAAUUGACGGGGACCCGCACAAGCGGUGGAGCAUGUGGUUUAAUU